UGAACUUUUUUUAGUUGUUGGUUCUGUGAGU
rnacentral:piRNA from 1 species